CCUCUUAAUUUUUUACGGAAAAUGCAACAAAUCAGGCCGUGUAAUUUAAGUAGGCCAUGGUAUUAUACAUAUUCAUUUAUAAGUUCUUUUAACUCUACUUUGUCAUAGACUGCAAUUCUUUAAAGUUAUUGACGUCAGACAACUUAAACUUUACUUCCUUAUAUCUUUUUUUUAAGGUUAAUCUAGAAACUUGAUUUUUUAGCAUUUAUCAAUGUAACUCGACCUCUAUCCAUCCAUAUAUAGAAAGUACUAUGCUUUAUAUAGUUUUACUUAUAUAUUUCACUUUUUAGAGUUUCAGAUAAAAGUUAUAUUUCAACUUGGUGAAAAAAAAAAACAUUUUGGUAGAUUAACUGAUCAAUUCUCCUAUUUUCCAGAAAAAAGCUUUAAACAACUUAUUUAACAAUUCAGAUGAACUUGAUGUUUUGAAAAGAAAAGUUGUAAAUGAAGAUAUCCAAUACAUUACUUUUGUAUGCAUGAAUUUAACCUUUAAAUUACGCAACACUAAAUUUCACCAAUAAACAAAACAAAUAAGAUUUCCCUCGCAGAGCCUCAAAUCAUAUAAAAAAGCCUAUUAAGUUUAAUCAAAAUCCCCGCGUAAAAGAGUAGUUUAUGGACGACGCUUUAUAAUAUAAAGCAUCGUCCAUAAACUACGCAAUGCAAAAUAUAUUUGAAAAAAAGGAGUAGGAGAUUUUAAUCUCUUUUACGCAGGGAUAUUAUGUUACAUAUUAUUAGAAUAUUUUUUUAAAAUUGUCAUGAACUUUUUUAAUGUUUAUUCAAUUGUUUCUUUUUAGACCGUCAACAGACGCCAUUUUGUCAGAAUACAGCAUGAAUGGUGGAAAGAAAAAAAAAGUUUAAAGAGUUGGCAAGUCUAUGUAACGCUGUCACUGAUGUUGCUUUAAAGUCAAGUAAAAACUUAACGAAAAUGGAUGCCAUGCAGCUUGUUGGUAGAGUAAUAAGCCAUUCUUCUAAUCGAUUAAAGAGAACAUCCAUAAAUAUUGGUAUCGAACAAUGAUGGCUUAAUUAACUAUAAUCAACUGUUGUAUUCAGGGCUGUCCCGAAGAGGUCUUUUAUGGGGGAGGGGGAUGUGCAUAUUUUUGCCAACUAGAAACAAACAAAAAAAAAAGCCAAAAAAAAAAUGGUCCGCAAUAUUUGCUAUUUGCCAACUAUAGUUCAACACUUCCUCGAUGUGCCAACUCAAAUGCU
rnacentral:misc_RNA from 1 species